UGGGGAAUAUUGCACAAUGGGCGCAAGCCUGAUGCAGCCAUGCCGCGUGUAUGAAGAAGGCCUUCGGGUUUUAAAGUACUUUCAGCGGGGAGGAAGGGAGUAAAGUUAAUACCUUUGCUCAUUGACGUUACCCGCAGAAGAAGCACCGGCUAACUCCGUGCCAGCAGCCGCGGUAAUACGGAGGGUGCAAGCGUUAAUCGGAAUUACUGGGCGUAAAGCGCACGCAGGCGGUUUGUUAAGUCAGAUGUGAAAUCCCCUGGCUCAACCUGGGAACUGCAUCUGUUACUUGCAAGCUUUAGUCUCGUAGAGGGGGGUAGAAUUCCAGGUGUAGCGGUGAAAUGCGUAGAGAUCUGGAGGAAUACCGGUGGCGGAGGCGGCCCCCUGGACGAAGACUGACGCUCAGGUGCGAAAGCGUAGGGAGCAAACAGG
rnacentral:rRNA from 1 species